AACGAACGCUGGCGGCAUGCCUAACACAUGCAAGUCGAACGAGACCUUCGGGUCUAGUGGCGCACGGGUGCGUAACGCGUGGGAACCUGCCCUUAGGUUCGGAAUAACUCCCCGAAAGGGGUGCUAAUACCGGAUAAUGUCUUCGGACCAAAGAUUUAUCGCCUUUGGAUGGGCCCGCGUUGGAUUAGCUAGCUGGUAGGGUAAAAGCCUACCAAGGCGACGAUCCAUAGCUGGUCUGAGAGGAUGAUCAGCCACACUGGGACUGAGACACGGCCCAGACUCCUACGGGAGGCAGCAGUGGGGAAUAUUGGACAAUGGGCGAAAGCCUGAUCCAGCAAUGCCGCGUGAGUGAUGAAGGCCUUAGGGUCGUAAAGCUCUUUUACCCGGGAUGAUAAUGACAGUACCGGGAGAAUAAGCUCCGGCUAACUCCGUG
rnacentral:rRNA from 1 species